rnacentral:piRNA from 1 species
UGAACUUGCCGUGAGGACACACAGACUUGC